CCUACGGGAGGCUGCAGUGAGGAAUAUUGGUCAAUGGGCGGGAGCCUGAACCAGCCAAGCCGCGUGAGGGAAGAAGGUACAGCGUAUCGUAAACCCCUUUUGUCAGGGAACAAAGGCGGGGACUAGUCCCCGGAUGAGGGUACCUGAAGAAAAAGCAUCGGCUAACUCCGUGCCAGCAGCCGCGGUAAUACGGAGGAUGCGAGCGUUACCCGGUUUUAUUGGGGUUAAAGGGUGCGUAGGGGGCCUGUUAAGACAGCGGUAAAAUCCAGGGGCUCAACCCCGGCGAGCCGUUGAAACUGGCGGGCUGGAGUUGAGGAGAAGUACGCGGAAUGCGCGGUGUAGCGGUGAAAUGCUUA
rnacentral:rRNA from 1 species